ACUGAACCGAGACACGUCAACAUAUUCUGACUGGUUUAUUUUAUUGUCUUUGCAGUGGGUCGAGCAGCAGCAUGAUCGCAAUAGACAACAAGAUAGAGCAGGCAAUGGACCUUGUAAAGACCCACCUGAUGCUGGCGGUCAGAGAGGAAGUGGAGUUGCUAUGGGAACAGAUAAAAGAACUAUCAGAAAGGAACGCCCAGCUGGAGAGAGAGAACUAUAUCCUGAGAAGUCUGAGAGACUGACAACAGCCACGUUACGCUCCUGCAGUAGUCCUUCCAGAAUACAUACAGCAUUACUGAUUCUCUCUAACUGCAGAAAACAAGAAUAAAUAACUUACUAAAAACCUG